rnacentral:rRNA from 2 species
UAGCGAAUCUUCGGCAAUGGACGAAAGUCUGACCGAGCAACGCCGCGUGAGUGAAGAAGGUUUUCGGAUCGUAAAACUCUGUUGUUAGAGAAGAACAAGGACGUUAGUAACUGAACGUCCCCUGACGGUAUCUAACCAGAAAGCCACGGCUAACUACGUGCCAGCAGCCGCGGUAAUACGUAGGUGGCAAGCGUUGUCCGGAUUUAUUGGGCGUAAAGCGAGCGCAGGCGGUUUCUUAAGUCUGAUGUGAAAGCCCCCGGCUCAACCGGGGAGGGUCAUUGGAAACUGGGAGACUUGAGUGCAGAAGAGGAGAGUGGAAUUCCAUGUGUAGCGGUGAAAUGCGUAGAUAUAUGGAGGAACACCAGUGGCGAAGGCGGCUCUCUGGUCUGUAACUGACGCUGAGGCUCGAAAGCGUGGGGAGCAAACAGG